UGGGGAAUAUUGCACAAUGGGCGCAAGCCUGAUGCAGCAACGCCGCGUGAACGAUGAAGGUCUUCGGGUUGUAAACCGCUUUUGAUUGGGAGCAAGCCUUUUGGGUGAGUGUACCUUUCGAAUAAGCGCCGGCUAACUACGUGCCAGCAGCCGCGGUAAUACGUAGGGCGCAAGCGUUAUCCGGAAUUAUUGGGCGUAAAGAGCUUGUAGGCGGUUCGUCGCGUCUGGUGUGAAAGCCCAUCGCUUAACGGUGGGUUUGCGCCGGGUACGGGCGGGCUAGAGUGCAGUAGGGGAGACUGGAAUUCCCGGUGUAACGGUGGAAUGUGUAGAUAUCGGGAAGAACACCAAUGGCGAAGGCAGGUCUCUGGGCUGUUACUGACGCUGAGAAGCGAAAGCGUGGGGAGCGAACAGG
rnacentral:rRNA from 1 species